ACGGGUGAGUAACACGUGGCUGACCUACCCUGUAGUGGGGGAUAACCUGCCGAAAGGCGGGCUAAUACCGCAUAGACUCUGAGGGUUUAGAAACCUAAGAGGAAAGCUUUAGUGCUACAGGCAGGGGCUGCGGCCCAUCAGCUAGUUGGUAGGGUAACGGCCUACCAAGGCGGUGACGGGUAGGGGACCUGAGAGGGUGGCCCCCCACACUGGGACUGAGACACGGCCCAGACUCCUACGGGAGGCAGCAGUAAGGAAUAUUGGUCAAUGGGCGCAAGCCUGAACCAGCAACGCCGCGUGGAGGAAGAAGGGUUUCGGCUCGUAAACUCCUUUUAGGUGGGACGAGACAGGACGGUACCACCUGAAUAAGUCUCGGCUAACUACGUGCCAGCAGCCGCGGUAAAACGUAGGAGACGAGCGUUAUCCGGAUUUACUGGGCGUAAAGCGCGUGCAGGCGGUUGAAUAAGUCAUAUGUGAAAGCGCCCGGCUCAACUGGGUGAGGCCAUGUGAGACUGUUCAACUUGAGAGAGGUAGAGGCGAAUGGAAUUCCGGGUGGAGUGGUGAAAUGCGUAGA
rnacentral:rRNA from 1 species